CGUCGGCCAUAGCUCAGUCGGGUAGAGCGCGAGCGCCACGGCGCUCGAGUCGAAGGUUCGAAUCCUUCUGGCACAG
rnacentral:tRNA from 1 species